GUGAAUCAUCAAAUUUUUGAACGCAAAUUGCGCCUUUUUCGGAAGGCAUGUCUGUUUGAGGGCACCAUUUAGCAAAUAAUGUGCAUUGCGUGUGCACACGUUGAUGAGCUUUCCAAAAUUAUGUAUUAUUAUUUUUGGUGGCGCAUAAGAAACAGCGCGAUGCUUUUUUGCAGUUCUAGUAUAGUAAAUUUUUUUCUUGCUUGGGUUGUGAAAAACGGGAUCGCGCAAAUGAGUGUGGCGAUUCUAGUAAGCCUGC
rnacentral:misc_RNA from 1 species